rnacentral:rRNA from 1 species
UACGUAGGGGGCAAGCGUUGUCCGGAAUCAUUGGGCGUAAAGAGCGUGUAGGCGGCCAGAUAAGUCCGCUGUGAAAUCUCGAGGCUCAACUUCGAGCUGUCGGUGGAAACUGUCUGGCUAGAGUCCGGAAGAGGAGAAUGGAAUUCCUGGUGUAGCGGUGAAAUGCGCAGAUAUCAGGAAGAACACCCGUGGCGAAGGCGGAUCUCUGGGCCUUACCUGACGCUGAGGCGCGAAAGCUAGGGGAGCGAACAGG